ensembl:snRNA U6 U6 spliceosomal RNA
UUGCUUUGGCAGCCCAUAUGCUAAAAUUGAAACAAUACAGAGAAGAUGAGCAUGGCCUCUGCGCAAGCAUGACACACACAUUCAUGAAGCGUUCCAUAUUUUU